AACUUUGUACUCUUUUCUUUUAAUCAGUAUUUGUCUAUUUGUUCUAAAAAAAUAAAAAUAAAAGUUCCAAAACGCUGAAACACCAAUUCAUAUCACAAAAUUGCAAACCCUUUUAACACCAACUCUUAUCACAAAAUUGCAAACCCAUUAACACCAACUCUUAUCACAAAAUUGCAAACCCAUUCAAACGGACACACCAACACUUUACGAUGUGAAUCGCAGUGAGUUUGUUCGAGUUCGUCGAUUGAGGUCGCUUACCAGUAGAUUUGAUAUUUAGCUCGGUUGAUUGCGUCUGCUUCUCUCCAGGUGUUGAAAAUGAAGAAAGGAAGACGCAAGCGCAAGAAGACCUUACUUAAGAGGAUAUUUCACUUGAGAAGAUUUUUGGAUUUUUGCUGAAGCUUUAGAUGUUCUAGGAAUAUUUUGCUAUUGACAUUUUAGAACUCAUGUAAACUCUUUAAAUGUAAAACUUUUAUGUAUUUGGGUUUUAACAUUUUGCUUUUAUGGAUAUUAUAACUAGCUUGUGGACAAUAUGGAUUAUGAAAAGUUUCAUUUUGUGA